ACUCCUACGGGAGGCAGCAGUGGGAAUAUUGGACAAUGGGGCAACCCUGAUCCAGCAAUACCGCGUGUGUGAAGAAGGCCUGAGGGUUGUAAAGCACUUUCAGCGAGGAGGAAAGUUAAUGUAGUUAAUAGCUAUGUUGAUUGACGUUACUCGCAGAAGAAGCACCGGCUAACUCUGUGCCAGCAGCCGCGGUAAUACAGAGGGUGCAAGCGUUAAUCGGAAUUACUGGGCGUAAAGCGUGCGUAGGCGGAUAUUUAAGUCAGAUGUG
rnacentral:rRNA from 1 species